GGUCUGCUGAGCCUCCAGGUGCUGAAUGAAGAGAGUAUGAGUGACUGCAAAGAAGUGAAGCCGCCCCAGGUCACCAGCCCUGCGCCAAAACCACACAGGAAGAACAGCCAGUGGCACGCACUGAAGUGCGCCUACAUGAUGGUCACCUUCCUCUUCGUGUCUUACAAUAAAGGGGACUGGUGUUACUGCCACUACUGCAGCUCAGAAGUGGAUGUCAGAAAUGAUCCCUGCUGCGCCUUCUAGCCACCUGGCUCCCUCUGGGCUCUCGCUUGGCAAGUCCUCCGUCUUGAUGGCAGGCCAGCCUCCCCAGAAGACUGUCCCCUGGUGGCCCUGGGGCCUGGAGAGUAGCUGGUGAGCAUCUGCAGGUGGCCCCACACCACCCUGCUCCUCUUCCAGGCUCUUUUCAGCCCU